AGAGUUUGAUCAUGGCUCAGGACGAACGCUGGCGGCGUGCUUAACACAUGCAAGUCGAGCGGAAAGGCCCUUUCGGGGGUACUCGAGCGGCGAACGGGUGAGUAACACGUGAGUAAUCUGCCCUGUGCUCUGGGAUAGCCACCGGAAACGGUGAUUAAUACCGGAUACGACCACUAUAGGCAUCUGUUGGUGGUGGAAAGUUUUUUCGGCAUGGGAUGUGCUCGCGGCCUAUCAGCUUGUUGGUGAGGUAAUGGCUCACCAAGGCUUUGACGGGUAGCCGGCCUGAGAGGGUGACCGGUCACACUGGGACUGAGACACGGCCCAGACUCCUACGGGAGGCAGCAGUGGGGAAUAUUGGACAAUGGGCGGAAGCCUGAUCCAGCAACGCCGCGUGAGGGAUGACGGCCUUCGGGUUGUAAACCUCUUUCAGUACCGACGAAG
rnacentral:rRNA from 1 species